CGCCCCUCUGUGUGAGCGUCAGUCACAGCGGUUCCAGCCUGAGGCUCGUGUUGAUUCAGGAGCAGAGAUGGAGGCCUGUGUGAUGAAACCAGACGUCAAGAAGAAACCCAAACCUCCUAAACCUCCUCCACGGCCUCCUCCUGGUCAGAUAAAUACAGUGGAGUCUAAUUUACUCGAGAAACCCACCCCGGUCCAGAGAAAGACGCAGGUCCAGACCCAAGUCCAGACGCAGGUCCAGACCCAAGUCCAGUGGGAGAGAAGGACCCCGAUGGUCCCCCCGCGGCCCUCAGACUCAGAGCUGAAAUCUCCCAGACAGUUGAGUGAGCGCCGCAGAGAGCAGACCACGCCCACUCAGAGCUCCAGUGUGACAGAGCCGACCCUCAGAGCAGACCCUCCCAAACACGAGGGAGGCCUCAAGGCCGUCAUGAAGAAUCUGCAGUUUAAACCCACAACGAAGACAAGCAGAGACCCCAGUCCAAACCCGAGCUCAGCCGAAGCCUCGUCCAAAGAAAACUCUGAAAAACACAAAGAAGCAGAAGCCAAAGUGGAAAAAGGAGGAAUAUUCAGUGGGAUGUUCAAAAAGGCUCCGAAAACAACAGAAGCCGCUCAGAAUGAAGAGGAAAAACAACCUCUGGACGAUGCCAUUUCCACGAGCAGCACUGAAACUUCUGAAGGGACUGCUAAGGAAAAAGGAGGGAUUUUCAAUGGGAUAUUCAAGAAAGCCCCAAAACCAACAGAAGACGCUUUAACUGACGAGGAGAACCUGGACAAAGAGCUUUCUUCCAGCGCUGAAAAUCUGUCAGAGAAAAAAAAGGUUAAAAGCCACAAAAUUUCUACUUCAGUGAUUAAAGAUGCGCUGUGUAACUUUUCUGAUGUGGAUCUGCCACCUGCUUGUUUAAUGCCAC
ensembl:lncRNA